ACUAUGUUAGACAUCGAAUCACUACUAACCUUUUGGUGAAAGUUGAAACAAAAUAGUGAUUUAGCACUUCAGCCAUUUCCACAUUUUCUGUUUGUUUCCCCCCAUCCAGCCCCCAUUGAGUAACUGUCCUACUCUGUUCUUGGGCUUCCUCUUGCUUUUGAUGUAUUUGUAGAAUGUUUUCUUGUUACCCCUUAUGUCUCUAGCUAGUUUAAUCUUGUUUUAUGCCUUGGCCUUUCUAAUUUUGUCCCUAUGUACUUGUGUUAUUCGUUUAGGUCAAAUUACAGAGGAUGAAUAUAGCUUUCACUAUUUGGGUCAAGAGCCUCUAAGAUUGGUGCUUGUAUUUCUGUUGAGAUAACCCACCUGAGUAUUGAAUCACGUAUCAAGGUAGCACAAGCAUGUUUAGUGGCGUUGGCUAAUAGAGCCCAGACUUUGUAUUUCAGCCCAACUUCCAGUCCAGGAAAGUAAGUUGGUGUUUAUUUUUAAAUUUUGUUGACACCUUUUAGAAACUUGAAAAUGAACCCAGAUUCCAGACUAUUUUAAAUCAUUCCCGUGUUCAUUGCAACACUUGGAUUAACUGGCCUGCUGUGGCACAAAGGAACAUGCCUGUUGGUCAUAGAUAGAAAAGACUACCUGGUUAUUGCAAACCUCUGCCCACUGAAGGGCCUCUUUGGCUUCUCUGUUAACAGACCUGGCGUCUGGAAUUAGCUGUGGAAUGGCAGCUCCCAGUGAGAGGAACCAGCACCAUUCCUGGGUAUUGAGAGAGUGAAAAGGAGCUGGAGAUUUCUAAAAACAUUUAAUAGAUAAUGUGUGUAUCUAAUAUAAAAUAGCUACCAUUGCUAUGCAUAUAGUUACCAAAUACUAGAACUAAUCACUGCAAUUUCCCCAGCAAGAUUAAUUUCAAAGCUGACUCAGUUAGCACAAAAUACAAACAGUGUGCCGCAUCCCACUUGUUGCAUUAAGGCAGGUCAUGAUUAUUCCCCUUUACAGUUCCUUUCCAUUAUUCCUCUUUAACUUGCAGUGCUGUAUCCAUGCCCCGCAACAGAGUAUUUUGCAAAUGAAUUUUGCAAUCACUAAAUCACCAAAACAACACGGAUAUCUAAAGCAUGGGGCAGAGAGCUGGUUAGUAUUAGAAAUGGUCAACAUACAUCUGCAAUCAUUUAAACGUCUAAUUAUAACAUCCAAGGCAGGGAUGGGUGGGGGAACACAACUGGAAAGAAUUGCUUUUGAAGAACACCUUUUUCCCCAAAGAGUUUUGUGCUUUAACAAGUGUAUCUCAGAAAUAGCUACAGAGGGCUGUGUUUUAUGGAAAGCAGGAGAUGGGGCACGCCAGGCCCAGCAGCCUUUCAAGACUGAUUUAAACUUUAAGGUAUCUUUUCAACACUAUACCAGAUUACCUGAGUUCAAAAAGCACCAGAAGUGGAGUAGCUGGCUCUGCAUGGUAAAAUGCUUUGAGAGGAACAGUUAGCUGUGCAGUCAUGUCCCCCAACUUCAGCAUGUCCACAACCACUUAGUCACCAAGUAAACAAAACAAGCUCCGGCACACAUUCCAGUUGCCUGGCAUACUAGGUCUACAAGGGAUGCAGGGAAUGGAGCUGGCAUGGUGGCUUGGCUAUUGUUGUGCUUUGCCAGUGCUAACCAAUGAACACACCGGGAAGUAACAGCGAGGCUGACUGGGCAGGAAGAGCCACUGACAAUGGAGGAAGUGAGCAGCCUGCUCAAGAUUUUGGGGAUUUCUGAAUAUUCCACUGAGUGAGACUUCCUAUUUUCAAUUAAUGCAGUUAGUGAAGGUUUAUUUCAAGAUAGUGGAGGUCUGGAUUGCGACUGUAAUUAGACAUACCAGUGAAGAGUUGACUGCAGUAUCAUUAAACUCAGCGCACUGCAUCUAAUAAAUUUAUCUCUUAAUGAUUGUAUUGUUUGUUACUCGUCUUUAAUCAGAAUGUUCAGGGUCAGAUCUUCAGAGAUCUCUCUCUAUAUGUAUCCAUUUGGGCUUGGGGUUAUAUAUGGCAAGUGGUUGGAAGGGAUUAUUAUUUGUAUUACUGUAGCACCUAGGAGUUUUAGUCAUGGACCAGACUCAUUGUGCUAGGUGCUGUACAAACACAAAGCACAAAGAUGGUCCCUGCCCCAAGAAUCUUACAAUCUUAGUAUAAGACAAGAUCCAAGCUAUGGAUACAGACAGCCCGAUGGGGGAGUACAAGGAAACAGAUCCACAGACCACUGAUGAGCGGCAGUGAUCUCUACAUACCCAAAGCUUAACUGUUGCCAGGUCUUUUUGCAAGCAUCAUGGCAGAGGAGGGAUUUGAAGGUGGAUAAUGAGGUAGCUUUCUGGAUAUUUAUGUGGAGCCGGCCUCUACCCAAGCAUGAGUGGCAAUUUUCCAUGGGAAAAAUCACAAGAAUGCUUGUUUGAAAACUUAACACACUGGAAUCAUAGGCUGCUUGGAGAUGUGCACUGACAGCUCAAUAAUGAAUAAGCGAUGAUAGGUAGGGUGAGGAUUUACUGUGAAGGGCCUUGAAAGUCAGGACAAGCCAUUUACAUUUGAUGCCAUGAAGAGGGAGCCAGUAGAGGGAUGCAAAGAGUGGGGAUGUGGUCAAAGCCACAGGCUAGAAAAAUUAUUUUUACACUGGCAUUCUGAAUGGAUUAAGAGCAGGGCAAGAUUGCAUUUGUCAAGGCCAGAGAGAAGGCUGUUGCAGUAAUCAAGACAUGCAAUGGGAUGAGACCUAUUGAUGUUUUGACUACCGAAUGUGUCUCCUGUCUACUGUUGUGUGUCUACAACACCCUGCACACCUUCUCACUCCCAAUUUCUUGAGCCCAAGUAAACCAAGUCACAACAUAGACAAGGUAAAAUGAAUUGAAUACAUUAUUCAUAUGAAUUAUUUGCUCAUUUUAAAUAACUAGCCACUUGAGCAUUCUUCCCAUCUCCCUACCCCCCCCAUACCCAAGUCAGCUUUUAUUUCAGGUACAUCUGAUUUACUAGCUUUAGGUGAAUUGAGUUAGACUUAAUUCCCUUCUCACAAAGAGCAUGAUGGGGAGCUAUUGUAAUCAUCCAGAAAAUUCGUCAUUGCAUAAAUGGAAAACACAGACCGAACUUCAACUAGCAGAAAAUCUGUGAAUGUUCACAGAGACGUUCUAUUACAUUAGCCAGAUCAUGAGUUGGAGGCUUUGGCUUUUUCUCCUCCAUUUGUAAAACUGUCCCCACCAGAGUCCUCUGUGAUGAAUGCCUCCAAAUUUCAUCAUCUUUAAAUAAAUCUAAUUAUAUUUUCAACAUCAGAAACUGUGUGGAUGAAAUUAUCAGCAUCGACCAUUCAUCUCUUUAUAAUUUAUGUAAUGUUGAUAAGACAAUGUUCUGCCACCGAAGGAAGCAAUGCGCUGGGCCAUUGGGAUUAGGUAGAAGAAGAGGGAAGUGUCUGCCAGUGUUACUCAGUUUUUUCCAAAGAAGACACUAUUGAGAGGUAAUAAUGGCUGGCUCCAAAGCUUGUUUCAUCACAGUCCUUCUUAGCCAGAAGGCGUAAUAUUGUGAGAAAACAGAGCUAGACCGGGGCUCGAGCACAAGGAUGUUGUAUAUACAGCGACUUGGGAUACCCAUAAAGGUAUGUUCUUGGUAACCUCUUAUACCUCUGGGACUCUGUUACACAGGACUCUACAGAUUGUCACCAACACUAGGACUGCAUGUAAAUAUUGCUUAGAUGUGUUGUAUCCUUAUAACUAUAAUGUAUAUAAUUCUCUUGAACAGACCUCAGCGAUACCACACUAAACAUACCUGUGCUGUUGUGUACCAUUGUGACCGAAUGCACCCCUGUAUUCACACCCUGCACACUGGUCUGGAUUGCACCCCAGAAUGUGAUAAUCAUCUAUGUCCUUCUAUUCUGCUCCUCCUAUGUUGUGAUCUACUGUGUGCAGAUAUCAGGCCACUUCCAAGAUGGUCUACAAAAGAUUUUAAAUAAUAAAAGGAUGCCUAUCCAAUAGUCUAGGCACUGUAACACGCAAUUCAUAAUACAAUAAAGUCCCAGCACAGUCCCUUUCUCUCCCUUCACUACUCUGGGAAGCAAACUCUCAACCCUCUCCAAAAACCCUCUCAGCUAUUAGUCUUUGCAGAUGCCCAGAAAGUCACCAAAUUUGAGCCAUUUCAGAUCAAGAGGGCAGGGACUGAGUUCCAGAGUCCCACAGCCAUCACAGAGAACACCUGGCCAGCCACUACCACUCUCUUAUUAUGAAAGGGAUCCAGCUGAGGCACACGUGCUGACCUCAGCUGUGGCAGGAUGGCAUGCGGAGACAUGCGGUCCCUCAGAUAGGCCACUCAAGCUUUAUCAACACCUUCAAUUCCACCCUGAGACCAAUAGGUCAGAUCCCAGAGCACUGGUUUCAUGAGAUGCCCUGCUAAAAUAAGCAAGGCACUGUGUUCUGCACCAGCUUCAAUCUCCAAAUGGCUUUAACAUGUAACCCCACGUAGAGAGCAUUGCAGCAAUCUGAUCUGGAGACGCUAAAGUCGAGUCCAACCAGGCAGACAUACAACUGAAUGUCAUCAGCACACUGAAGACACCAGACCCAUGCCACCUCCUUACUGACCCUCCUCCUGACCCUCCAUACACAUUGGCACUGGCAGGACCGCCUUGCUUGAGAGCUCUUCAGGAAGAGGAAAAAUUGCCCCUAACUAUGAGUUGAGACCUCUCUGAGGCAAAAGUGGGCAGCCCUGUCUGCUCUCACCAAGGUCCACAUGAGUCUACAAUGCUCACUACCUGGUUAGCUGGUGAAACCUACUGAGGGCACAACCUAACCCAACCCAACACCCCCACCCCAGUGGUUUAUUACCACCAUCUUUUGUGGCUAAGAAAGUGUGUGAAUCAAGUAAAUAAAAAAAAAUCAGUUAAAGGAAAACAGGUGUCCUUAUGAAGUGGUAUUGAAGCUGAGUGUAAUGAACUCCAGGCUGCUACUAGGUAUGUAUAUGGAUUUCUUCAGUAUGCUUGUAAAAUUCUGACAGUUAACUGCUUACCUACUGUCAGACACCCCGUAUACCGCAGCAGCUGGAUAUCCUCACAUUUCAUUGAUGUGAAUUACAUGUCUUGGGUGAAGCUGCCCAUAUGCUCCUAGAUCGCUGGAGAGUGCAUUUAAAAACUAAACUGGAGUAAAGAAUGAAUGACGAUUGCAACAUCUCUGGGGAAUCAAGGCUUGGCAAGGAAAAGGGUUAAAAGUUUUACUUUAGAUAGUCUAGGAAGAGGGAGUGAAUAAAACCUUACGCUGUUUGGUAAUGACAGUAGCUACCAGAAGUGGUUACCAUUUGCUGAUUGACUGGUAACAUGUGGAAUGAGUUUGGUAUCUCAGUUCAGUUUCUGGUGUCCAUAUCGCAGACUUGAAGGUUCAGGAAAGGGUGAGGAAAAUGGCAAGGGGCAUGGAAAAACUCUCAUCUGAAGACCCAGUGAAGAGAAUUUGCCUUAGAAAGGAGAUGAGUAAGAAGGGACAUGACCUCAGUAUAUAAAAAUAAUGAAUGGUAGAGCAGGAGUGUCUGUUCUCCCUGUGUCCUAACAGUCAAUGAAAUUAAAGGGUAGGAAAUUCAAAACUGAUCAAAGGAAAUACUUUUUCUACACAAUGUGUAAUUAGACUGCGGAACUCAUUGACACAGAAAGUCACUGAGGCUAAGUACUGAGCAAGAUUCAAAAAGGGAUGGAACAUUUACAUGUCUAGCACAAAUAUCCAGAGUUGUCAUAAUUAAGUAUACCAUACAUUUCAGAAGGGCUAUUAAACCUUCUGUUCAGGGCUUAAACCAGUCUCUAACUAUUAGACAUCAGGGUGAGACCUAAUGUGCAGGGCAGAUUAUCUCACAUUUGCCUACUGUAGAGUUCUUAUGGCUUCCUCUGAAGCAGCUGGUGCUGGCCUAGAUGGAGCUCAGAUGUGACUGAGUGAGGCAAUUCCUGAGUUCUUAACAGAAAUGACUACCACUGGCGUUAAUUAACCCUUUUGUUGGCAGUGUCAACAAAGACUGAAUAAACCAAAGAGACUGAAUUCCCCAUCUAUCCCUACAAGUGGUCAGCCUAAGUGAUCUGGAGAGAGCAUAGGAAGAAGGCUGCACUGCUACUGCCAGUGUUUUGUGCCUAAACAAAGGCUUCAACCUCCAAUCGCUCACCAAUCUGCCAGUUUGGAACCACUUUUAAAUUCACUACCGAGACCCCAAAAAACUUUUCAGCUGCCACACCCCUAGCCUCACACUGAUCCUCGACACAGGUUCCUCAAGGUGUAGCUGCUGUGAAACUGGAGGACUGCAGGUCUUUGGCCCCUAUACUAGGUGCUGCUAGAACCUCACUGAAAUCUAGGUGGCCGUUUCACUAUAGGACACACUGUCCAAGCGGAACCCCACUGCAGUGCCUGAUGUGCUGGAGCAGUUUAGUCCAUGAAGACCCACCCAUGAGAUUGUCUAUAUCCCUCGGAAGGAAGUGGGGAAAAGACCGAGGCUCUUGGUGAACUUUGCCCUGUCCUAAAAUAAUUUUCCACGCCUGAUGUUACCGCAUAAUAGGAUUUCUCUGGUUGAUACCAACCAGUGUGUAUGGGGCAAAAGUGGCUUUAAAUGGCUGUUGAAAACCCCUGACUGAAGAGUUUCCAAUCUGUUUAUUGCUACAGGUGGAAGAAGCCUGGAAGAAAGCCACAUGCAUGCAGCAGUCUAGACAUGUUUGGGUUUUUUUCCCCCCCAGUGUUAAAGAACAGAAGUGCCAUAAGCCUUUUUUUCCCUUGGGACUCUUACAAGUGGCCAAUGUAAACAAUUCCCUCACUGCCCUAAAAUGCAGAGUAACUCACAGGAUGAAGCAAUGACCUAUUGAACCUCUGGGAAGGGUAAUGCAAGUCUCUGUCUGGUUUAGUGCCUUUAGUGAGACGAGUUUGGUCAUUUCAGCUCAAUUGCUUCAGUACAACCAACAGGCUUUGUGAUAUGGAAUGCACUCCAGGGGCCGUGUGGGGCAGUUCUCCGUAUCCACAAGGAGGCCCAAAGUUUCAAAUUUGAUUGCCUAAUGUUAAGGAUAUAAAUAACUGGCCUGCAGUUCAGAAGCGCUGAGCUCCCACAGCUUCCACUGUCUUCAGUCAGAGACACAGGUCUCUAUAACUUCUGCAGAGCCGGAGACUGACCCAGCUAUCUUGAUAUAGAUUUAAGUGCUUAACAUCAAGCCCUCAAGCUUGAAAAUGUUGACCUCCAGGUAUGUUUUCCACCACCCUGAGGAAAUAUUAUUGCUCAGUCCAAGUGCUUCACAAGCAUUAAUGAAUUAUAUCACACUUCCACACUAAAUCUUCUACAUUUUCGAUUCCUCCUUAAGACAGAGAUUCUCUUAUGGGCCCCUAGAGCUGUUCUUAACCUUCCAUGUCCUUGCCUUCCCUGCAGUAGCAAUAGAUCUUGUUUGCAUUAAAAAGAAAUAUUAGGAUAGCGUUAUGAAGACAAGAUAAAAAUAAACUCACUUUAAUGUGAAGUCUACAGCUGCUGGGUACCUCCCUUAAUUUUGUAUCUGUACUGCUCCUUUGUGUUUCCUUUACUGGUGUCAGAUCCCAUCUCAUUGCCUGCAGCCCCUCGGCUCUAACUUCUCCAGGUCACUUUACAGUUGGGUUCACCUCCUAUAUAUUUUCUACCCCCUCCAAUUUUGCUUUUGACUGCACAUUCGAUCAUGGUUGGAAUUGCAUCAAAGAAGCACUCGACAAGGACAGAUACGAAGCAGCUGUGCAUCCGGGCUGUUUGUUAAAGUGCUGUGAAGAAAGUGUGACCUAGCCAGUGCUGGAGUCCAUCAUGUAAUACUGAACACGGCAAAUGGUCACAAAAAUGUCACGUAAUGAAUGGACCUGUCCAAGAACAUGGACGACUUCCUCCCUGGCAAUAAGGUGGGGGAAGUCUGCUGUUGAUGGUGAUGCACUGAAAUCAUGAAGAAAUGCUGAUGGCCAUAUAAAUCUGUAUAUGCAAAAGGGUGAAUUAUUUUUCAAUAAACCAAUUGGAAGAACUA